rnacentral:rRNA from 1 species
GAUGAACGCUAGCGGCAGGCUUAAUACAUGCAAGUCGAGGGGUAACAGGUCUGUAGCAAUACAGAUGCUGACGACCGGCAAACGGGUGCGGAACACGUACAGAACCUUCCUUCGAGUGGGAGAUAGCCCAGGGAAACUUGGAGUAAUAUCCCAUAGGAUCAUAGAGUGGCAUCACUUAGUGAUUAAAGAUUUAUCGCUUGAAGAUGGCUGUGCGGCUGAUUAGGUAGUUGGUGUAGGUAACGGCUCACCAAGCCUUCGAUCAGUAACUGGUGUGAGAGCACGACCAGUCACACGGGCACUGGGACACGGGCCCGACUCCUACGGGAGGCAGCAGUAAGGAAUAUUGGGCAAUGGAGGCAACUCUGACCCAGCCAUGCCGCGUGGAGGAUGAAGGUCCUCUGGAUUGUAAACUUCUUUUAUUUGGGAAGAAAUGCCGAUUUUCUAAUUGGUCUGACGGUACCAGAUGAAUAAGCACCGGCUAACUCCGUGCCAGCCGCCGCCGUAACAC